UAUAGCAUUAGCAAACAUUUUAAAUACUACUUAUAAAAAUAAUUGCAUGCAUGUUUUCAUGGGGUAGACCUGUUUUUGCAUUUGGGCAAUUUAGUAAAUUAAAAAAUAAAAUCACCUUGAGCUUAAGUUAGACUUACUAGUAGUGAUGUUCCGAAUGGUUUGCCGCGGACUCAUCAUUGAUGAAACUUUGACCCUCUACCUCACAGUCAGCAGACACAUUCCAACCAAUCAGAAGAAGACCCUCCCUCCCCCUGGACAGUUCACUAAGAAUGCAGCUUCACAAUGAAUGUAAAAUGGAUGCUGGCCAGGUGGUGGGAGGGUCUGCUGCCAAUUGAGGUACAGGGUCAAAGUUUACUCAAUGAUGAGUCCGCGGCGAACCGUUCAGGACAUCACUACUUACUAGGUAUUUAUUAUAUAUUAAACAAGUUGUGGUGAACUGAG